rnacentral:lncRNA from 1 species
GUCGUGGCGUUAUUGGCAAUGGCAGUGGUACAGAGGGGCUCAGGAACUAUGGGAACAGGUUUGUCUUCAAGUAAAGGGUACAGAGUGCUGGGUCCAUUACUAUGUCACGUGAAGGCCAAGAAACCAAAAUCCGACUAUAAAAAUAAAUUGACAUUCUGUAAAUAACAAAAGCAAAUAUAGUGCCCUUUGGCUUAACCAAAAGGAAAAACCGACUAUUGGGUGCCAACCAGUUAUCCACAUUUCUGACAUAAAUAGAAAAUAUAAGUUAGUAUAACUCUUAAAAAAACGUUUUGUACAAAUAUACACUUGCUUCUUUCUUCUUCUUUCUCCUUUUUUCUUCUUUCUUUUUAGGUUUUUUGGGGGUUUUUGUUUGUUUUUUUUUGUUUUGUUUAUUGAGUUUUUUUUUUUGCACUGAGAGAUCAGCAGAGAUUAAACAUUUCCAUAUAAAUGACUUUGUUUUGUUUUGUUUCCUUUAAAGCUUUACACUUCUGGCCAGUGUACUCACAUUAGGCAUAAUACAUUUCUGUACAGAACGUCACACAUUGCACACUCGUACGGUAACACUGCUCUGUGCGCGGCCGCUCCCGGCGGGCGGGCGCUGCGGCUGCGGCUCCGUCCCCGCUCCGGCGGCGCUGCGGGGCCCGGGCCGGGCGCGGUGCGGGGGGGUCCCGGCUGCCCGCAACUCCGGGGCACGGCGCCUCUCCCGUGGGUGCCGUAGUGCAAAAGGCUGGCUCAGCGGAGCCGCUUGCGGGGGGUGUGCUCAGCCGGCACGGCGGCGGGGGGCUGAGGGCAGCCCGCGGGGCGCUCGGCCGCCGCUUUGGGCUCGGCCGGCCUUUUCCUCCUGGCGAAGAAAUCUGUGAUGCGGGUCGUGGGGCCGCUCCGCCGGGGCCGCAGCGCACGUCGGCGGGGCGCGGCGCGGUUCUCCCGGCUCAGGCGCGCCCCCGGCCCCCCCGGAGCCUUGGCGGCGGCGGCGGUAUUGGCGAUGGACGGCGGGGCCGGAGGGGCACGGCAUAGGGGAACGCGGUGCCGGCCCACCUGCAGCGUCUCCCGGUAGAACGCGGGCACGGUGCCGCCCUCCACCUCCUCCCAGCGCAGGCGGCCGGGCCCGGGCAGCGGCGUGUCGGUGUGGAAGUUGUAGUCCCAGCGGCGCUGGUCGUCCUCGCCCAUCUCCCGCAGGCGGCUCCGCAGCUCCCGGCCCAGCUCCUCGUGGUCCACCGGCCCGAAUAAGCUCCUGCAGACGGCGCUGCGGCCGGGCACGGGCAGCGCCCGCAGGGCCGCCAGGCGCUCCGGGGCCGCCGCCGCACCCGAAAGGUGCACGUCGGACAUCGCCGCGGGGUGGGUGGGUGCGUGGCCGCCCGCCCCCGCCGCUCCCCUCGCCGCCCGUCCCGUCUCGUCCAGUCCCGUGCCAAACGCGCUCGGGCCCUGCCUCCGCCUCUGAGCCCCUUCCCCCGGCUCC